AUUUUAUUACCCAUCAUAUACCCAAAAAAAAUUAUAUUUUAUUACACUUUAUAUAUCCAAAAAAACAAUUAAAAUAUAUUUUAUUACCCAUUUAACUUUUUUUUGAUUUUUUCUAGUUUUUUGACCAAUUUCGCUUCCACAAAUGCGACUCAAACUAUUCUGCUAACUUUUCUGACCUAUUGAUUUAAUUUUUCAUCUUUUUUUUUUUGUCUUUUUUAGAGAUAUCAUCUUUUUUAGAGAUAUCAAGAUAACAUUGAAGUAGUAUAAACAUUUUCAGUUCUCUAAAUAAUCUCACAAACCUCCUUUAUCUCUCUUUCUAUAUGCAUUAACUUCUACAUGUGGAAAGAAACGCACCAAUACUUCUCCAUUUGUAUAACUUUCAGCAAACUAAAAUAUAUAAAAGUUUUUGAAUACCUUAUGCCGUCUUUGUAUUAAAUCAGUUUUAAUUUGCAAUUCAUCCAGUGAGCGUAGCCCAGCUGGCUACAGUACUUCGACUCGAUUCUUCAAAGCAUCAAUAAAUGGAAUGGCAUUCAAUAUAUUGUUUUAUAUUUAAAAUUAAAAUUUUAUUUAAAUAAAGACAAAUUUAAAAAAAAAAA